rnacentral:tRNA from 1 species
AAGAUCUUAAGUUAUAUAAAACUAGCAGCCUUCAAAGCUACCAAUAAGUAAAAAAUUCUUAGAUCUUA